rnacentral:rRNA from 1 species
CACGUAGGGGGCAAGCGUUGUCCGGACUUAUUGGGCGUAAAGAGCUCGUAGGCGGCUUGUCGCGUCGACUGUGAAAACCCGUGGCUCAACCAUGUGGUCUGCAGUCGAUACGGGCAGGCUAGAAUUCGGUAGGGGAGACUGGAAUUCCUGGUGUAGCGGUGAAAUGCGCAGAUAUCAGGAGGAACACCGGUGGCGAAGGCGGGUCUCUGGGCCGAUAUUGACGCUGAGGAGCGAAAGCGUGGGGAGCGAACAGG